rnacentral:rRNA from 1 species
GCAGUAAGGGGGCGGGUGCUAAGGUCCGUCCCCGAGAGGAGAAGAAUCCAGACCGCCGUCUAAGGUCCCGAAAUUCUGUCUAAGUUAGUCUAACGAAGUCUGGUCCCCGUGACAGCUAGGAUGUUGGCUUGGAAGCAGCCAUUCAUUCAAAGAGUGCGUAACAGCUCACUAGUCGAGGGUCCGGGCAUGGAUAAUAAUCGGGUAUAAGUCAGAUACCGAAGGCGCGGGAUAGUAAUGUAAAUUAAAAGUAUCGGUAGGGGAGCAUUCCAUCGGCGUUGAAUGGUGAGGGUAACCGAUCCUGGAGCUUAUGGAAAAGCAAAUGUAGGUAUAAGUAACGAUAAAAAGGGUGAGAUUCCCUUUCGCCGAAAGACCGAGGUUUCCCGGGCGAUGCCAAUCAGCCCGGGGUUAGUCGGGUCCUAAGUCUCAGCCGAACGGCGAAGGCGAUGGCAGAUGCGGUUAAUAUUCCGCAACUCGCAUAUACAGUGAUGUGGAGACGGAGCAGUGACACUGCCGCGCCCUGACGGAAUAGGGCGUUUAAGUGCGUAGGCUAUGAGGAAGGCAGGCAAAUCCACCUUCCGAGCUGAACCAUGAAAGUACAGGUAAUCCUUCGGGAUAACUUGAGUGCAGGUAAUCAUACUUCCGAGAAAAUCCGCUAAACUUAAUGUAUAUGCGACCCGUACCGCAAACGGACACACGUGGUCGGGUAGAAUAUACUAAGGCGUUGAGAGAUUCAUGGUUAAGGAACUAGGCAAAUUGACCCCGUAACUUCGGGAUAAGGGGUCCUCAUAGCAAUAUGAGGCGCAGAGAAUCGGUCCAGGCAACUGUUUAACAAAAACACAG